CGAUGGGGAUGUGGUUUAGUGGUAUAAUACUCCCUUAGCAUGGGAGUGGUCCAGGGUUCGAUUCCCUGCAUCUCCAC